AUUAUAACUCUGAAACCGGUGCAAGGGCCUUCUUAGAGGCAUCGGAGCGUUCCAGCAGUGCAGCCCACGAAGAGCAAGGCCGGGUUGGCAGCAACUGUGUCGCUACGCUCUGUGGCCAGCAGAUGGGGUGAGAAGUCAAUGCU
rnacentral:lncRNA from 1 species